rnacentral:rRNA from 1 species
AUUGAACGCUGGCGGCAUGCUUUACACAUGCGAGUCGAACGGUAACAGGCCUUCGGGUGCUGACGAGUGGCGAACGGGUGAGUAAUGCAUCGGAACGUACCCAGAGGUGGGGGAUAACGCAGCGAAAGCUGUGCUAAUACCGCAUGUGAUCUGAGGAUGAAAGCGGGGGACCGAGCAGCAAUGUUUGGCCUCGCGCCUUUGGAGCGGCCGAUGUCGGAUUAGCUAGUUGGUGGGGUAAAGGCCUACCAAGGCGACGAUCCGUAGCUGGUCUGAGAGGACGACCAGCCACACUGGGACUGAGACACGGCCCAGACUCCUACGGGAGGCAGCAGUGGGGAAUUUGGACAAUGGGCGCAAGCCUGAUCCAGCAAUGCCGCGUGCGGGAAGAAGGCCUUCGGGUUGUAAACCGCUUUUGGCAGGAACGAAACGGUGUCCGCUAAUACCGGGCGCUAAUGACGGUACCUGCAGAAUAAGCACCGGCUAACUACGUG